GACUACUCGGGUAUCUAAGCCCAUUCGCUACCCACGCUUUCGUCCUUCAGUGUCAGGAAUGCUCUGGUUGGCUGCUUUCGCUUUCGGUGUUCCCCACGGUAUCAACGGAUUUUACCCCUACACCGUGAGUUCCACCAACCUCUAACACCCUCAAGUCCUAUAGUUUUUCUUGCGAUUCUUUGGUUAAGCCAAAGGAUUUAACAAGAAACUUAUAAAACCACCUACGGACGCUUUACGCCCAGUAAUUCCGGAUAACAUUUGAGGCACUCGUAUUACCGCUACUGCUGGCACGAGUUUAGUCACCUCUUAUUCAACUGGUACUCUCAUCCACUAAAAGUGGAUUGCUCCCAGUUAAAAGCGGUUUACAAUCCGAAGACCUUCUUCCCGCACGCGGCGUCGCUCGAUCAGGCUUUCGCCCAUUGUCGAAGAUUCCCCACUGCUGCCCCCCGUAGG
rnacentral:rRNA from 1 species